GUGCCUGGUGAGGAGCCGAAAGGUCUUCGGAAGGCCGGGAUGUAGGGUUCGGCGCCGUUGUUGACGUUGUUGGGGGUUCCUCGGACUUGCAGUUAUGUCUUAAUACCUGGGUGAUGAUGAUGUGGCCGCUCCGUGUUCCUGAGCGCACGCAGAAGUUGUCUUGGCCCACUAAGAAAAACAUUAACAGACGAGACCACCCAACCGGAAAGAAUCUUCUCUGGAAUUCGUCAGAUGAAACCUCCCGCACAGUAACUCAAAAGGUCCAAAAUCCAGAUUAUCAGCUCUUGAGUACUGACAGAAAGCUCACUGCUUUACAG